GCGAGGGGGAGGGAGGGACCGGGGACUCGAAGGAGGGGAGGGGGCAACAGGAGCUCGAUACCGAGCAACACGGACAGCAGCAUCCAGACUGUUGUCCCUUCCUGUUUAUUAACACCAGUUCGCGAUAACCUUUUGGAGAUGCAGUGGUUGACGGUGCAUGCGUGCUGAUUUCAUUUCGAGUCGGUUCUGGAGUUGUGGGAACUAGUCCCACUUGUACACAAGUUCUUACUUAAUAAAAGACUUGGAGGGAGCACACGCAUGGAUGGAUAUGGGAUACCUGCCGACCAUAGAUCGCGGCUGUACCACUCAACAUGGAGCUGAGAUGCCGGAAGAUCGCCCAAGAUCAGGCUCCAGGGUCUGAGACCUGAACACCCUGAACACAGCCCCCUCCUCCAGGCCCCCCCACUAUGGCCGACGAUCUGAGGACCGGCCUGUCCGUGUGGGCCAUCGUCGCCAUUGUGUGUAACUCUGCGGUGGGCAUCCUCAUCCUCAUUCUGUUCGCCAUCCUCUACAAGGCCUGCCAGGUGCCCUCCAAACCCCCCAAUGGGACGCCGGCCCUCUUCACGGUUCUCGAACCAGAGACCAGGGAGGAGAAGUACAGGCUGGUGGCACCCUGAGACUCCUUAAUGUUGUUCACCUUGACGGAGGGUGUCUGGGUGGGCGUCUGGGGAGCUCUGGAAGAGUUCGACACUGACCUCGAGUCAUGCAUUGUGGCCAAAUAUGAAACGAUUCUUCUCCCUUCCUUUCUCACCUUCAUGAGCAGAAGGAGGUAAACACACCUGUCUUUUGUCGUGUUCCUUUAUCCAAGAGUCCUUUUCUCCUUCGUCAGUGUCUCUCACCUUUACCCCAAGCCGGUUAGCGGAGCUCAGACCAAUUCAAGCGGAGCGCCGGGUAUGCCUUUGAAGGAUUAUGUAAAGGAACAGAAAAAUAAGACAGGCCCAACAAUCCUCUUAUCUUCACCAACACUGCGGCUCUGGGACCGUCCAUCUGCCUCUCCCUCGACACACAGCACCUGGACAGCUUCUCCCUCUCCUUCAUCUUCUCCUCUUUCCCCUCCUUCAAUUGGUAUCUUGGUCUCGCUCUGUCUCUCUCUGUCUCUCUCUGUCUCUCUCUCUCUCUCUCUCUCUCUCUCUCUCUCUCUCUCUCUCUCUCUCUCUCUCUCUCUCUCUCUCUCUCUAUCAUAACUGCAAAACAUGUACGAAAGAAAGAGCAAGGAGCAAGGAGGGAGGUGAAUUCUAAACCAGAGGAGUUGAGUGGGAGACAGAAUGAUCAGGGUGAGGGAGGGAGACCUGGGGACAAGGGAGGCUCGAAUGAACUGCAGCGUCUUGGAGCUCUUCCAGAUGGUGCAUGGAUAUUGCUAUGGGGUACAGAGAUGAUCAGCAGGUAGGUGUAGCAGAGGGGAGAGCUAAAGAAAGGCAGUGAGGAAAGGAAAAUGCCAACCAAGAAAGGGAAUGAAAGAGGCCAGACAGGUUGGAGAGGAAGAUGAUGGAAAUAAAGGCAAGCAAAUGCUGGAAAUCUGUAGUCCAGCACUAUUAUAUUCUUCGGACAAAGCCAAUUGUUCUUCAUCAAUAUAUAUAGAGCUUAAAAUAUCCACAGUGCUAAUUAUGUAAUUUGCAGUUCAAUUUCAGUCACUCACAUGUCCAACAUAAUCCUAAUUAUUCUGACGGCAUUAGGAUAAACUAUUCCAGUCUGGGGAGUAUAUUAUCCGAAUUUCAUUUCUGUACCUCACUAUUGUCCAUUUUUUUUAGUUUCUAUUGGUUCAUUUUCCUAUUGGAUAGCAUUUUAACUUGGGGUCCCCAUAUGACCUAUAAUUGAAAUCCUAAAGGUACAUUCACAUUCUGAUGCUAUGCUCUGUGUCUGCAUUUUUAUUGACAAAAACAAACUUUUUAUGUGAAUUUAAUAUGGGCUGCAUUAAAUGAGUCACCAUAGGCGUUGGUGUCUCUUGGAUGUAUAAUUUAUUUUCUUAAAUAAAAAAGUUAUGGAAUGCUAA